AGAGUUGAUUCUGGCUCAGAACGAACGCUGGCGGCGCGUUCUAAGCAUGCAAGUCGAGCGGCAGGGGGGCUCGGUCCCCCGAGAGCGGCGGACGGGUGAGUAACACGUGGACAACCUGCCCCCCGGUUCGGGAUAGCCCAGGGAAACCUGGAUCAAUACCGGAUGCGAGGGCGGCCGCACAAGCGGCCGUCGGGAAAGGCGCUUCGGCGCCGCCGGGGAUGGGUCCGCGUCCCAUUAGCUAGACGGUGGGGUAACGGCCCACCGUGGCGAUGAUGGGUAGCCGGCCUGAGAGGGUGGACGGCCACAUUGGAACUGAGACACGGUCCAGACUCCUACGGGAGGCAGCAGCUAAGAAUCUUCCGCAAUGGGCGAAAGCCUGACGGAAGCGACGCCGCGUGAACGAAGAAGGCCGUGAGGUUGUAAGUUCUUUCGGGAGGGGAACAACCGUGGCGAGGGAAUGGCCGGCGGGAUGACGUGAACUCCCGGAAUAACGCCCCGGCUAACUACGUGCCAGCCGCCGC
rnacentral:rRNA from 1 species